CGCAAUGGGCGAAAGCCUGACGCAGCGACGCCGCGUGAGGGAUGACGGCCUUCGGGUUGUAAACCUCUUUCAGUAGGGACGAAGCGCAAGUGACGGUACCUACAGAAGAAGCACCGGCCAACUACGUGCCAGCAGCCGCGGUAAUACGUAGGGUGCAAGCGUUGUCCGGAAUUAUUGGGCGUAAAGAGCUCGUAGGCGGUCUGUCACGUCGGCUGUGAAAACCCGAGGCUCAACCUCGGGCCUGCAGUCGAUACGGGCAAACUAGAGUACUGCAGGGGAGACUGGAAUUCCUGGUGUAGCGGUGAAAUGCGCAGAUAUCAGGAGGAACACCGGUGGCGAAGGCGGGUCUCUGGGCAGUAACUGACGCUGAGGGAGCGAAAGCGUGGGGAGCGAACAGGAUUAGAUACCCUGGUAGUCCACGCCGUAAACGUUGGGCGCUAGGUGUGGGGGCCAUUCCACGGUCUCCGUGCCGCAGCUAACGCAUUAAGCGCCCCGCCUGGGGAGUACGGCCGCAAGGC
rnacentral:rRNA from 1 species